UUAAAGGAAUUGACGGGGAGCACCACAACGGGUGGAGCUUGCGGUUUAAUUGGAUUCAACGCCGGAAAUCUUACCGGGACCGACAGCAAUAUGAAGGUCAGGCUGAAGACCUUACCGGAUUAGCUGAGAGGUGGUGCAUGGCCGUCGUCAGUUCGUACUGUGAAGCAUCCUGUUAAGUCAGGCAACGAGCGAGACCCACGUCCACAGUUGCCAGCAUACCCUCCGGGGGUGAUGGGUACACUGUGGAGACCGCCGCUGCUAAAGCGGAGGAAGGAAUGGGCAACGGUAGGUCAGUAUGCCCCGAAUCUCCCGGGCUACACGCGGGCUACAAUGGUUGGUACAAUGGGCAUCUACCCCGAAAGGGGAAGGAAAUCUCUUAAAGCCAAUCGUAGUUCGGAUUGAGGGCUGCAACUCGCCCUCAUGAAGCUGGAAUCCGUAGUAAUCGCGUUUCAACAGAACGCGGUCGAAAUACCGUCCUGCUCCUU
rnacentral:rRNA from 1 species